rnacentral:rRNA from 1 species
GACGAACGCUGGCGGCGUGCUUAACACAUGCAAGUCGAACGAAGUGGCGAACGGGUGAGUAACGCGUAAUCAACCUGCCCUUCAGAGGGGGACAACAGUUGGAAACGACUGCUAAUACCGCAUACUGAAGCAGGUGAUUGCGUCUGAUUCGCUAGUUGGAGUGGGAACGGCCCAACAAGGCGAUGAUCAGUAGCAGUGCGGAGAGGGGGAACGGCCACAAUUGGAGUGAGAAAAGGCCCAGAAUCCUACGGGAAGCAGCAGUGGGGAAUCUUCCGAAAUGGACGAAAGUCUGACGGAGCAACGCCGAGUGAGUGAUGACGGCCUGCAGGUUGGAAAGCUCUGUUAGUCGGGACGCGGUACCGGAAUAGAAAGCCACGGCUAACUACGUGCCAGCCGCCGCGGUAAUUC